UACGGAGGGUGCAAGCGUUAUCCGGAUUUAUUGGGUUUAAAGGGUCCGUAGGCGGAUCUGUAAGUCAGUGGUGAAAUCUCAUAGCUUAACUAUGAAACUGCCAUUGAUACUGCAGGUCUUGAGUAAGGUAGAAGUAGCUGGAAUAAGUAGUGUAGCGGUGAAAAUGCAUAGAUAUUACUUAGAACACCAAUUGCGAAGGCAGGUUACUAUGUCUUAACUGACGCUGAUGGACGAAAAGCGUGGGGAGCGAACAGG
rnacentral:rRNA from 1 species